AGUUUGUUAUUGGUGUGAGCUUUCGUGUGCAUGCAAGAAGAAGAAGUGUGCAUGCACACAAAAGCUCAUACCAAUAACAAACU